UUACAUCUGCCCGCUCUACAGUCACCACAGUCGAGUAGUAUUUGCGCAUGCAAAAUUUAAAUUCAAUCGUCUAGCUGUUUACUUCCGGUUUCGAUAUUGAAAUCUAACGUGUUUUAGGUUGUGUUAAAUAUUGAAAAACAGGUAAAGUCGAUAACACUCAUAAGUGUUAGGCAAUAAAUAACAGGAUUACCUAACUGAUUAACAAUGAACCGGACAGAUGAAUUUGUUUUCAUCGUAUGAUACCUGAUCUUCUUUGACGCAUAAGGAUGCUAGAGUAUGUGUUGGCGUACUUGUUGGUCUCCGUUGUGUGCCUUCUUCUCCUCGUGGCAUACUUGUGGCAUUGGAUUAACAAGCAGAGAAGGGUUAAUCACAGUGAAGCAGCGGACACAAAUACAGGCAACGCCCUUUUAAAUUGUCCGAAGUCAUCGUUCUCUAUGAUGUAUUCCGCUACAAUGGCGAACGGACAAGGGAGCGAAUUCAACGAGAACAUUACUAAGUACCUAAGUCAGAAAGCGAGACAAAUGGAUAGAGAGGAAAAAAUAAUGUCGCACAAUAAACCAUCAGUUAAGAAACGUGUCCAUGAGUUGUAGCGCGGGCUAAGGAGGUUUAACGUGAACGUUUUCAUCGUAUUUGUAAUAAAUGUUCAUCAAUAUAUAUUAAAGCAGUUAUUUUUUUUA